ACGGGUGCAGCAGGCGCGAAACCUUUCCAAUGCACGAGAGUGUGAGAAGGGGAUCCAGAGUGCUUUACUACGUAAAGCUUUUGCCAAGCGUAAAUAGCUUGGAGGAUAAGUGGUGGGCAAGACUGGUGCCAGCCGCCGCGGUAAUACCAGCUCCACGAGUGGGAACCACAAUUAUUGGGCCUAAAGCGCCCGUAGCCGGUUUAAUAAAUUUCUUGUGAAAUUGUUAGGCUUAACCUAACAACGUGCAGGAAACACUGUUAAACUUGGGAUUGGGAGGAGUUAGAAGUAUCUUUGGGGUAGCGGUAAAAUGUUAUAAUCCUAAAGAGACUACCUAUGGUGAAAGCAUCUAACUAGAACAAGUCCGACGGUGAGGGACGAAAGCUAGGGGAGCAGAACGGAUUAGAUACCCGAGUAGUCCUAGCUAUAAACGCUGCGAGCAAGAUGUUGCCUAUUCUUCGUGAAUAGGCAGUAUCGAAGAGAAGUCGUUAAGCUCGCCGCCUGGGAAGUAUGGUCGCAAGACUGAAACUUAAAGGAAUUGGCGGGGGAGCAC
rnacentral:rRNA from 1 species